CACGUAGGGUGCGAGCGUUGUCCGGAAUUAUUGGGCGUAAAGAGCUCGUAGGCGGUGUGUCGCGUCGGCCGUGAAAACCUGCAGCUUAACUGUGGGCUUGCGGUCGAUACGGGCAUCACUGGAGUUCGGCAGGGGAGACUGGAAUUCCUGGGUGUAGCGGUGAAAUGCGCAGAUAUCAGGAGGAACACCGGUGGCGAAGGCGGGUCUCUGGGC
rnacentral:rRNA from 1 species